UACGUAGGGUGCGAGCGUUAAUCGGAAUUACUGGGCGUAAAGCGCACGUAGGCGGAUUGCUAAGUCAGGGGUGAAAUCCUGGAGCUCAACUCCAGAACUGCCUUUGAUACUGGCGACCUUGAGUCCGGGAGAGGUGAGUGGAACUGCGAGUGUAGAGGUGAAAUUCGUAGAUAUUCGCAAGAACACCAGUGGCGAAGGCGGCUCAUUGGCCCGGUACUGACGCUGAGGUGCGAAAGCGUGGGGAGCAAACAGG
rnacentral:rRNA from 1 species